GAUGAACGCUGGCGGCGUGCCUAAUACAUGCAAGUCGAGCGAACGGACGAGAAGCUUGCUUCUCUGAUGUUAGCGGCGGACGGGUGAGUAACACGUGGAUAACCUACCUAUAAGACUGGGAUAACUUCGGGAAACCGGAGCUAAUACCGGAUAAUAUUUUGAACCGCAUGGUUCAAAAGUGAAAGACGGUCUUGCUGUCACUUAUCGAUGGAUCCGCGCUGCAUUAGCUAGUUGGUAAGGUAGCGGCUUACCAAGGCAACGAUGCAUAGCCGACCUGAGAGGGUGAUCGGCCACACUGGAACUGAGACACGGUCCAGACUCCUACGGGAGGCAGCAGUAGGGAAUCUUCCGCAAAGGGCGAAAGCCUGACGGAGCAACGCCGCGUGAGUGAUGAAGGUCUUCGGAUCGUAAAACUCUGUUAUUAGGGAAGAACAUAUGUGUAAGUAACUGUGCACAUCUUGACGGUACCUAAUCAGAAAGCCACGGCUAACUACGUG
rnacentral:rRNA from 1 species